ACAAUGCCAGUUUUUCCUCCAGAGACUAAGUUUUUGUCAAUUAUUUCCUCCAUUUUUGUUACAUUAUCCUCAGCAGUUGAGAUUAUCUCCACCACCCUAGGUCCUCAGUGUAGCGCUUCUUUGAUAUAGGUUGUUGCGUCAGAUCGUUUAGCAUAGUUAUGCUCAGAACCGUGUGGACCACAGCUCUCGCAUGCCUUGCAGUCAUGGAGGAUUGGCGUUUUUCUGCACAUCAUGUGCAAGCCAUUCGCUUAUAUCGCUCAGGAUCUCAUCCUUCAAACAAUCACCAUCUGCAGCCCCUUCGGCAGUGUUGAUCUGUAUUGGGUAUAAUAUUGUGAGUAAUACAAACACCUCUUUUUAAAGUCGUUUUUGUCAUAUUGAAGUUGUUUACCGUUGUAAUUGCUGUAGGUCGUCUGUCUGAAGCAUGGGAAGAUGCAACUGGCGAUGAUCGGUGGAGGAUCCUCUGAGUUGGCCCGCAUCAUUAGGACUAAAGCCGGAAGCAAAGGGGUGAAUGCAGGAGAUGAAGAGAAGGGCCCAAGAAAACAUGGCAGAGAACAUUGGAGACUGAGCACCAACAACAACUAGCACAAUGGUUGUUCCAUGAGGAUGGGAAGUCUGGGUCUACGAUGAGCCUCUACUGAAAAAACUGGAUCACAGAGGCACUGAGGCCAAAGAUGCAGAUCUUGGAGUCUUAAUAAGAACUCUUUUGCAACCACUUCUUUAUCCAAGCCUUGGAAUGACUGAUGAUUGAACAUGAUACAGCUUUGCAUUUUCAAAGUAAAAAUGUAAUGAAAUCAAGAUGAAACAUCUACAAUGUAAAAUGAAUAACCUUGUUUUGCCAACCCACAUCCUCCACCUCUCCAUCCCCUGAACGACUAAAAAAGCAUGACAAAAAACAGUACCAUGCCCUUCGGCUACACAAACAAGUCCUCACAAUCUUGCAGAGGAUCCUCAAGGGUCUGUUUUUUCCUCGAGGGGGGGGUGUUUUGAUCAAACAAACCUCGAAAAACAGCGUUCUGUAUCUCAGGGAAGCUGGUGACUGAGGAAUGAAUGGUGUACUUCCAGGAGUUAGACGGCCUUAUGGUGGAAUCACAAGGGGGACAACUUGGCUUGCCAACAACUAGCUACAGCUGUUUAUAUAUAGAUACUUAUGAUGAAUAUAUAUAUAUAUUCUCUUUUUUAAAUUUUAUUUAUCUUUCUUUCUGGCAGUAGUAAAUAUUUGAGGAUAUGAACUCUAUGGCAAUACAUCAGGAAUCAUUCCUUUUCCUUUCUAC